GACGAACGCUGGCGGCGUGCCUAACACAUGCAAGUUGAGCGACGAACCAGGGCUUGCCCUGGGGCAAAGCAGCGAACGGGUGAGUAACACGUGGUAACCUACCCCGAUAACCGGGACAACCCGAGGAAACUCGGGCUAAUACCGGAUGUGCUCACUGGACUUCGGUUCAGUGCGUAAAGGAAGCUUCGGCCUCCGUAUCGGGAGGGGCCCGCGGCCCAUUAGUUUGUUGGUGAGGUAACGGCUCACCAAGACCGCGAUGGGUAGCUGGUCUGAGAGGACGAUCAGCCACACUGGGACUGAGACACGGCCCAGACUCCUACGGGAGGCAGCAGUGGGGAAUCUUGCGCAAUGCGCGAAAGCGUGACGCAGCAACGCCGCGUGGGGGAAGAAGGCCUUCGGGUUGUAAACCCCUUUCAGGAGGGACGAAGGUUCGGCGGUGAAUAGCCGUCCGGACUGACGGUACCUCCACAAGAAGCCCCGGCUAACUACGUG
rnacentral:rRNA from 1 species